rnacentral:rRNA from 1 species
AACGAACGCUGGCGGCAGGCUUAACACAUGCAAGUCGAGCGCCCCGCAAGGGGAGCGGCAGACGGGUGAGUAACGCGUGGGAACGUACCCUUUACUACGGAAUAGCUCCGGGAAACUGGAAUUAAUACCGUAUGUGCCCUUCGGGGGAAAGAUUUAUCGGUAAAGGAUCGGCCCGCGUUGGAUUAGCUAGUUGGUGGGGUAAAGGCCUACCAAGGCGACGAUCCAUAGCUGGUCUGAGAGGAUGAUCAGCCACAUUGGGACUGAGACACGGCCCAAACUCCUACGGGAGGCAGCAGUGGGGAAUAUUGGACAAUGGGCGCAAGCCUGAUCCAGCCAUGCCGCGUGAGUGAUGAAGGCCUUAGGGUUGUAAAGCUCUUUCACCGAUGAAGAUAAUGACGGUAGUCGGAGAAGAAGCCCCGGCUAACUUCGUGCCAGCCGCCGCAGUAAUAC